GUGACCAUAGUUACAGAGAGAGGCAGCUAGAUGCUACAGAAGGCUAACAGGUUUAUACCAGAGAUAGAGUAGUGACCAUAGUUACAGAGAGAGGCAGCUAGAUGCUACAGAAGGCUAACAGGUUUAUACCAGAGAUAGAGUAGUUGACCAUAGUUACAGAGAGAGGCAGCUGGAUGCUACAGAAGGCUAACAGGUUUAUACCAGAGAUAGAGUAGUGACCAUAGUUACAGAGAGAGGCAGCUGGAUGCUACAGAAGGCUAACAGGUUUAUACCAGAGAUAGAGUAGUGACCAUAGUUACAGAGAGAGGCAGCUAGAUGCUUACAGAAGGCUAACAGGUUUAUACCAGAGAUAGAGUAUUGACCAUAGUUACAGAGAGAGGCAGCUGAAUGCUACAGAAGGCCAACAGGUUUAUACCAGAGACAUCACAAUAAGACCUCAAACCUCCUGUUGUUACAGUCAGGACCUGUUCCCCACCGGAACAGAGAAUUCACUAUAAAUAAAUGUUUCUUUUUUCUGUA